UUGGGAGUUCAGAGCAGUGAAGGAGGGAGCUAAUAACUCCUCACUGUUGGAGCACUCCAGGCCUGGAAGGAAAGACGCAGAAGAGCAGUGUCAAUUGUUCAGGCAUGUAUGGAUCAGCUGCCUGCUUGCCUUUGUCACACAUGCAACUAGAAAACCGGAGGAGCUGGCUGAAGACAUUCUGUGCCCCCAUGGAAAAUCCAAGUGGCUUCAACCCACCUGCUGCCAUUUUUAAUUUUUUUAAUAUUGAUUAGGGCUUAUUCUACUGGGAACGCUUCCUUAACUGCAACAAGAUACAAGCUCAAAUUAAAUAACCCAUUGGCAAACUCCCUCUGAUCAACUCCUGCAAACAAUAGUGGUGUCCCAGACUGCUGCUUUUGGUAAAGCUGACUUCACUUUUAUUAGAUAGCCCACGUCUGACACUUUCCAUACAUUUGCUGGGGCCCAGUUUACAACAUGGAGAGUGGGUACCAUUGGCUAUGUGCCCAACGGCUUUGCCACUGACCUCCACAGCUUCCUGGAAGCCUGGUGCAAAGUGCAGUCAAUGCUGCCUCUGGCUUCAGGGCUCCCUCACAGGCCUUUACACCCCAAUAAAGGGCUGAGAUGAAUAUUUUUAAGGUGUGAUUUUCUUGUUCAAAAAUUGCAGUUUCAGCGGGGUGCUAAUAUUUCACAAGCUACAUUGUGGGCAAAUAUUCUUUUUGGAUUAUUCAUCUGGCAACAGAACAUGUCUCUCCCAUAGCUGUCUCUGCAGCUUCAACAGGCGCAAUUCUCUGACGCUUUGACUUCACCUCCAAGGCGCAGUCUUCCACUGUCUCUCAAGGCAGGUGGAUGCCAACCAACCAGGGCCAUUGUUUUCUCUGACUGCCACUGCUGCUUUUGCGCCAUUUUCUCAUGGACUGUUCCUUCUUUCUUGUUCCUGGAUCAGUCACACCCCAAACAAUCAGGGAUCUCAUUGUGAAAGGGAGGAUUUCAUAAUCCUGCAUUCCCAAUCACUUUGGGCCUCAUGAUAACAUCACUCAGGGUAGGCAGUUAACUGAGUUUAAGGACAAUAUCUCCUGCAUCAGUCACCUGGGCAGUCCCAGCCAACCAGGCACCAUGCACUGAACAGGAAGAUAUCAAAAUGCUACGGAGGCAACCAGCUUUAGUUGCAUGAAGAUGCCAUUGAGGGUGGGCAGAAUCAGUCAAGGAUGAUGAAAACCAGUAAGGAUAAGCGGAUGGACUCAAGGAUUGUAGAAAAUAAUGAAACGGAGGCUGGCUGCUUUUCAGGGCAGGUGCCAGGAUCUUGCGGGCUCUUUGGCUGGGCACUGCCAGGCUCAAACUACUUAUGGCAUCUUGUUGGAAGAUUCAAUACAGACAGCACAGAGUUAAAGUAUGGCUCUCCCUCCCACAGGAGGCGGUGAGGGCCACCAACUUGGAGGGCUUUCAAAGAGGACUGGACAAAUUCAUGGAAGAGAUGGCUAUCUAUGGCUAUCAAUGGCUAUCAAUGGCUGCCAGCUAUGAAGGCCAUGUUCUGCCUCCAGAGUUGGAGGUGCUAAGUGUUAGUUUCUGUUUGGCACUGAGCAGCUGCUUAGAGUCACAAGGCUCUGUUUACAUUCCAGAGACAGUCCAGGCUAUUGGAAGUCUCAUGGGAGACUAGAGACGGAUGUGACGUACUGGUUUCCUGUUUCCUUUGUUCCUUUGUUGUUCAGUUGCUCUCUGCUUUCAUAGAGAGAGGGUGUAUAUUUCUUUGUUGUCUGCGUAGUAAGAAAUAAAGCAUAGAGAUGUAGCCAUAAAUCUCAUCACUUCCCUGUGCUGGAUUCUCUGCUGAAUGGGGGAGCGUGCCUGAGGCCUUAUCAAAGGCUCAGGUCGUUAAUUAUUCAUCGGAGGGCAAUUCCGAAGGCUCGGCCGGAAAAUGAGCUUUAUCAGCUUGGCCGAGUGGAGAUUACAACACUAAGGUUUCUGAAAACCAUUUGAAUCCUGUUUGUGGGUUUCCCAUAGGCAUCUGGGUGACCACUGUGAGAACAGAAGGCUGGACUAGAUGGGCCAUUGGACUGACCCAGAAGACUCUUCUUAUGUUCUUAUAUGGCAUUAAUAUGCAUGGCAUUAAUCCACUAGUCCAGGGGUCUGCAACCUUUAAGACAAAAAGAGCCACUUGGAACCGUUUCCGAAGGGAAAAAAACUGGGAGCCGCAAAACUCGUCAUUAUAAAAAUAACUUUUUUGUCACUUUUUUAUUAUUUCUUUGUUUGACCCCUCAGAAUUACUCCUCCUCAUAGAAAUAAACGUUAAAUUGACAAGUUA